GAGAGAGAGACAUGCGCGCAUAUCAAUAAGCGGAGGAAAAGAAACUAACAAGGAUUCCCUUAGUAACGGCGAGUGAAGCGGGAAGAGCUCAAAUUUGAAAUCUUCAAGGUUUUACCUUGACGAAUUGUAGUUUAAAGAAGUGCUUUCCUGCUGAAGUUUUGGUAAAAGUUCUUUGGAAUAGGACAUCAUAGAGGGUGAGAAUCCCGUAUUUGACCAUUAUUUUCAGCUUUGUGAUACACUUUCAAGGAGUCGGAUUGUUUGGGAAUGCAGUCCAAAAUGGGUGGUAAAUUUCAUCUAAAGCUAAAUAUUGGCGAGAGACCGAUAGCGAACAAGUACCGUGAGGGAAAGAUGAAAAGAACUUUGAAAAGAGAGUUAAACAGUACAUGAAAUUGUCAAAAGGGAAGCGUUUGACACCAGUGUUGUUUUCUCGAAAAUCAAUUAAAAAUGGCUCGAUUUUGUAUUGCUUGAGACCUUAAAAGCUCACUGUACAUUUUUCGUGUCUUUUUUAAUGCACUUUUCGUUUAACAAGUCAACAUCAGUUUCUUUUGCUGUAAAAGGGUCAUUGGAAGGUGGCUUUCUUUUCGGAGAAAGUGUUUAUAGCCUUUGGCCUCUGCAAUCGAAGAGACUGAGGUCUGCAGCGUAGACUCUUCGGGGUUAGAUACAUUUGUGCUAAGUUAUAGCUUUUUAUAGACAACUUAUUGACUAUAAUUAGUCUUGUAGCUUACUCGCUUAUGCUAUUUUACCUACGCUUAGGAUGUUGAAGAUGUAGCACAUCAU
rnacentral:rRNA from 1 species